AAUAAAUAUAACUGUCAUCAUCUUUGUCAUACACUGUUGACAACUCAAGUGUACUGGAUUUUUGCUGGGAGUAGUCAACUGCCUUGGGAGGUCAAGUCAUACUGAUAAUCUCUAUUUUUGUAACUGACAAGUCAGAUAGUGAAUCUGAAGAAAUGUUUUAGAUGCAAUGAAGUCAAAUUCUUGACUUGUCAUUACUUGGCAAUGUUCCUUCUAAGUAAUGCAUCCAUACCUCUCAAGAAGUUAGUGGAAUGUUUGGGCCUUACCUCCACCACCUCCUCAUAUUCUUCUUCUUCUGCCAUCUUUGCAGCGAGCCUCUCACCUACUCACUGACCAUAAAACAAGAACAGAUCAACAUUAGAUCAUUGAACUCAGUGCUACACAUUACUAGUCAUAGGCAUGCAUGCAUCAUGGUUCAGAAGCUGCAAAAUGAGCCACCAAACUAUUUAUUCUGAAUCGAAUCAUCAAUGUAGAAAUCCUGGAAGUCAUCUAAUCCAGACUCGUGUAAGGAAGUGCCCUGCAGGAUCAGACAGGCAUCCAGAGUGGGGACAUAGGAAUAAACCUCCCAGAUACCAAUAAUGUGAAUGCA
rnacentral:lncRNA from 1 species